rnacentral:piRNA from 1 species
UGGAAAAAAGAUCCUCCUCUUCCUUUGAUGC